CUGGCAACCAUGAAGGUCUGCCUGCAAACCAACCUCUGGUGGGGCAGACCCGAAAACCUGGCGUG
rfam:Dipodomys ordii contig_40844, whole genome shotgun sequence.